GCAUUUCGCCGAGACGUCCUCGCCAACCAACCGGCCCGCCUGCUUCACCUCUCCCGUGAGCCCUGCGGAAACAUUACAGGACCGUGUGACGGAGCCUUUUCCACGUAAAGGGGCCGUGUGGGUGGCCUUCAGGAACGGGCCGAGGGGUUGCCGCGCGGCCUGCGAUGACGGCGUCCGGCUCCCAGUGUGGCCGAAGCGCGUGACCCCAGGAUGUGGCCGUUCGCAGGAGACCCUGACCGAGAGACGGCAGCCUGGCGAUGGCAGGAACUUCCCAGAUAGCGAGGCGGCCUUCCUUGGCGCUCCAUGUGGAUCCUCCCCGCUGGGCAUCCGAGAGCUGAGUCGGAGGCUGCAAAUUGCAGAGGGGCUGAAAUCGGGGUGCUGGGUCGGGACUUGUGGCCUGGGAUUAUGGAGUCAGCUUUGGGGACGGGGAUGUCCAGGCUGUGGCCCCUUAGGCCACGUGAAGGGAGAGCCUCACAUUUGUUCACAGUGCUGAGGUGCGCAGGACGGAGCAGCCCCAGGGCGUGUUGUAUCACUUGUCCAUUGUGCCUUGUGUGUCUUUUGUGCUCCUUGUGUUGUACGUGCCUCGCCUUAUCUCUUCUGGGGGCUUACCAGAAACCCCGGCGUCACUCCUCGCAUCUCUGAUCUCUGGGCUCCUCAGCCCGACACCAUCAAAGCUUUGCCUCGGGAGCUCUCAGAGGCCUUGGAAUCGCGUCUCUCUUUUAAAAGCAUCCGAUCGGAUGUCUUUUAGAGGUCUUGUUCCGAGCUGUGUCAACAGCCGUGCGCCGCGAGGAUCCAUUGCUGCGGCUUAGGUCUUGAAGAAACGCAGAGAUAGGUAGGGGGCUGUGGCCCUCAGAUUCUCGGGCAUCCGUCUUGGCAGUUGCUGGAGUUUGUCAUUCCAUCAGCAUCUUCUUCCUCCCGGGUUCUGCGAGCUUCAUCAGCUCGCCUUCAUUCUCACCCGGCUCAUCUCGUUCCGCGUUCUCUCGGUCCUUGCGGCCAUUCUUGUGGCCCAGAGUUUUGUCUCCCCAUUGUGUCCCCUCGUCUGUUGUCUUGUGUGUCACGGGUGUCUGGGUGUAGUUGUCCCGGAGCUGCUCUGUCCUGCUGCCCAGCCUGGGUGUAGGUGUAAAAGGCCGAGUCCUAGGCCCCUGUAAUUUGAAAUUUGUCAUGUAGGGCAUAGUUGGAGUCUAGCGGGUGUUCCUAGAUUGACAUAAGAUGUCUGGAGCUGUGAAGUUACCCUGCAGCACUUUGACUUUUGUCUUAGCUUUCUUUCAGAUGCGGACGGAUGUAAUCAGUGGCAGAGCGCCCCAUCCAGGGUAAGGGGGUUCCCGCGAGAAGGUAAGUCAAUGUUUGUCUUUGCAGGGCAACUGGAACCGGUCACUGUGUGACAGGUCUCCUCUUUGUCUUUAUUUUUAGGAAGUAGAGCCAGCUGGCAGCAGUCAAGGCGAAGUGGGCAAGGCGGUCCAGUCGUGUUUCGCUGAGACGUCCUUGCCAACCGGCCGGCACAGCUGCUUCACCGCUCCCGUGAGCCCUGCGGAAGCGUUAUGGAACCGUGUGACGGAGCGUUUUCCACGUAAAGGGGCCAUGUG